UGGCGGCGUGCUUAACACAUGCAAGUCGAACGGAAAGGCCCUGCUUUUGUGGGGUGCUCGAGUGGCGAACGGGUGAGUAACACGUGAGUAACCUGCCCUUGACUUUGGGAUAACUUCAGGAAACUGGGGCUAAUACCGGAUAGGAGCUCCUGCUGCAUGGUGGGGGUUGGAAAGUUUCGGCGGUUGGGGAUGGACUCGCGGCUUAUCAGCUUGUUGGUGGGGUAGUGGCUUACCAAGGCUUUGACGGGUAGCCGGCCUGAGAGGGUGACCGGCCACAUUGGGACUGAGAUACGGCCCAGACUCCUACGGGAGGCAGCAGUGGGGAAUAUUGCACAAUGGGCGGAGGCCUGAUGCAGCAACGCCGCGUGCGGGAUGACGGCCUUCGGGUUGUAAACCGCUUUCGCCUGUGACGAAGCGUGAGUGACGGUAAUGGGUAAAGAAGCACCGGCUAACUACGUGCCAGCAGCCGCGGUGAUACGUAGGGUGCGAGCGUUGUCCGGAUUUAUUGGGCGUAAAGGGCUCGUAGGUGGUUGAUCGCGUCGGAAGUGUAAUCUUGGGGCUUAACCCUGAGCGUGCUUUCGAUACGGGUUGACUUGAGGAAGGUAGGGGAGAAUGGAAUUCCUGGUGGAGCGGUGGAAUGCGCAGAUAUCAGGAGGAACACCAGUGGCGAAGGCGGUUCUCUGGGCCUUUCGUGACGCUGAGGAGCGAAAGCGUGGGGAGCGAACAGGCUUAGAUACCCUGGUAGUCCACGCUGUAAACGGUGGGUACUAGGUGUGGGGUCCAUUCCACGGGUUCCGUGCCGUAGCUAACGCUUUAAGUACCCCGCCUGGGGAGUACGGCCGCAAGGCUAAAACUCAAAGGAAUUGACGGGGCCCCGCACAAGCGGCGGAGCAUGCGGAUUAAUUCGAUGCAACGCGUAGAACCUUACCUGGGUUUGACAUGGAUCGGGAGUGCUCAGAGAUGGGUGUGCCUCUUUUGGGGUCGGUUCACAGGUGGUGCAUGGCUGUCGUCAGCUCGUGUCGUGAGAUGUUGGGUUAAGUCCCGCAACGAGCGCAACCCUUGUUCACUGUUGCCAGCACGUUAUGGUGGGGACUCAGUGGAGACCGCCGGGGUCAACUCGGAGGAAGGUGGGGAUGACGUCAAGUCAUCAUGCCCCUUAUGUCCAGGGCUUCACGCAUGCUACAAUGGCUGGUACAGAGAGUGGCGAGCCUGUGAGGGUGAGCGAAUCUCGGAAAGCCGGUCUCAGUUCGGAUUGGGGUCUGCAACUCGACCUCAUGAAGUCGGAGUCGCUAGUAAUCGCAGAUCAGCAACGCUGCGGUGAAUACGUUCCCGGGGCUUGUACACACCGCCCGUCAAGUCAUGAAAGUUGGUAACACCCGAAGCCGGUGGCCUAACCGUUGUGGGGGAGCCGUCGAAGGUGGGACUGGUGAUUAGGACUAAGUCAUAACA
rnacentral:rRNA from 1 species